UACGAAGGGGCUAGCGUUGCUCGGAAUCACUGGGCGUAAAGCGCACGUAGGCGGCUUCUUAAGUCAGGGGUGAAAUCCUGGAGCUCAACUCCAGAACUGCCUUUGAUACUGAGGAGCUUGAGUCCGGGAGAGGUGAGUGGAACUGCGAGUGUAGAGGUGAAAUUCGUAGAUAUUCGCAAGAACACCAGUGGCGAAGGCGGCUCACUGGCCCGGUACUGACGCUG
rnacentral:rRNA from 1 species